rnacentral:rRNA from 1 species
UUGACCUCGGAUCAGGUAGGAAUACCCGCUGAACUUAAGCAUAUU